rnacentral:rRNA from 1 species
ACUUAAAGGAAUUGGCGGGGGAGCACCACAACGGGUGGAGCCUGCGGUUUAAUCGGACUCAACGCCGGGAAACUCACCGGAUAAGACAGCUGAAUGAUAGUCGGGCUGAAGACUCUACUUGACUAGCUGAGAGGAGGUGCAUGGCCGUCGUCAGUUCGUACUGUGAAGCAUCCUGUUAAGUCAGGCAACGAGCGAGACCCACGCCAACAGUUGCUAGCUCGUCCUCCGGGAUGGAGAGGACACUGUUGGGACCGCCUCUGCUAAAGAGGAGGAAGGAAUGGGCAACGGUAGGUCAGCAUGCCCCGAAUUAUCCGGGCUACACGCGGGCUACAAUGGGUGGGACAAUGGGUAUCGACACCGAAAGGUGAAGGCAACCUCCUAAACCCAUCCUUAGUUAGG